GUCUGAUACAAAACCUCGAGAAGGAAAUUGAUGAUGUGGAUAUCAAAAUCGGCAAAGGCUGGCAGCUUCUUGACAGGGAUCGAGAUGGAAAGGUCACACCAGAUGAAGUUGCAGCUGCUGCAAUGUACCUGAAAGACACAAUUGCCAAGGAUGGCCUUCAACAACUAAUCAGUAGUCUCUCCAAAGAUAAAGAGGGAAGAAUUAUGGUGGAAGACAUCGUAAGGUUAGGGAGGUUGGGAAGUAAGCCAGAAGAAAAUGCAACGGAAGAAGAAUCAAAUUGAAGGAAGGAUACUCUGAUUUUAAGACAUUUUAAGUAGCAGUGAAGAUAGUUUUGUAGAGUUUCAUUGAGAGAAACUCUACUUCAGGUUUUACUGCUUGGACAUAAGCAGUUAUAUAUACAAGCGGCUAAGAGUAUGAGACCUUUUGCUAGUUAUGUGAAAAGAGGUUGGAAACUAAAAAAACCACAUUACGCCAAGAAUGAUAUCUUGAGCGUAUUAUUUUUAUUGAAACUUUUGAUUCAACUGUGUCAAUGGCUUAGAAUAUGAUAAUUGACAGGCUUACUA